rnacentral:rRNA from 1 species
AUUGAACGCUGACGGCAGGCCUAACACAUGCAAGUCGAACGAGUGGCGGACGGGUGAGCAAUGUCUGGGAACCUGCCUGAUGGAGGGGGAUAACUACUGGAAACGGUAGCUAAUACCGCAUUCUAUCAGAUGUGCCCAGAUGGGAUUAGCUAGUUGGUGGGGUAACGGCUCACCAAGGCGACGAUCCCUAGCUGGUCUGAGAGGAUGACCGGCAACAUUGGACAGGUGAGAAGGGCCAGACUCCUACGGGAGGCAGCAGUGGGGAAUAUUGCACAAUGGGCGCAAGCCUGAUGCAGCCAUGCCGCGUGUAUGACGAAGGCCUUCGGGUUGUAAAGUACUUUCAGCGGGGAGGCGUUACCCGCAGAAGAAGCACCGGCUAACUCCGUGCCAGCAGCCGCGGUAAUAC